UACGUAGGGUGCAGGCGUUAAUCGGAAUUACUGGGCGUAAAGCGUGCGCAGGCGGUUUCUUAAGGCAGAUGUGAAAGCCCCGGGCUUAACCUGGGAACUGCGUUUGAAACUGGGAGACUUGAGUGUGGCAGAGGGGGGUGGAAUUCCACGUGUAGCAGUGAAAUGCGUAGAUAUGUGGAGGAACACCGAUGGCGAAGGCAGCCCCCUGGGUUAACACUGACGCUCAUGCACGAAAGCGUGGGGAGCAAACAGG
rnacentral:rRNA from 1 species